CACGUAGGGGACGAGCGUUGUCCGGAUUCAUUGGGCGUAAAGCGCGCGUAGGCGGCUCGGAAAGUCGGUCGUGAAAUGCCGGGGCUCAACCCCGGGACUGCGUCCGAUACUCCCGGACUGGAGGCAGGUAGGGGAGAGCGGAAUUCCCGGUGUAGCGGUGAAAUGCGCAGAUAUCGGGAAGAACACCGGUGGCGAAGGCGGCUCUCUGGACCUGUCCUGACGCUCAGGCGCGAAAGCUAGGGGAGCGAACAGG
rnacentral:rRNA from 1 species